rnacentral:lncRNA from 1 species
UAAACAUUAUCUUCAGUGAAAUCCUAUGGAUUCUUAUCAGUAAAUUUUUGCAACUUUGGAACUCUUCAAAGCAGAGAAACUAUUCAGAAAUCCUUCUUUUAGACUUCAGCUUUAUAUCCUUCCAUUUUGUACAUAAACCACUCUCAUUGUAAUUAUGCUUAUUUUAAUCGACCUAAAAUAGCUUUUGUUCUUCAAUUCAUAGGUCCUUGGCAUUUCCAUCUUUCAAGCUACAAAACAUGCAGGUUCAGGUGGAGAACUGAGGAAAGACAGUUGUGCUGGGCUUCAGAAAAGAAUAUCCAAACGAGUUUUCAGGACUGUGUAAUCAUCCUUCUGAGCAUCAGUUUCCAGUCAGAACUGCAGAUGUCAAUGGAGGUGGAAACAAGACCCAGAAGAAAGGCAGUUUUUGAGAAUUUUCCAAUGUGAUUGUAAAGCCGAAGUGACGGAAAUCCCAUUUCAAAGACUGUUUUCCUAAAGCUUCCUAAACAAAUUAUAGUCUCCAGAGGUGAGUCUCCUUCUGAUUAGCUGAAUGUAAGCAAUUAGUCUUGAAGAUAGGAUUGCAGACAUUCCUUCUUCCCAGUCACCUCCCAAGCACUGACAACAAAUUUCAUCAAAGCAAGAAACAGCA